rnacentral:misc_RNA from 1 species
UACGGAGGGGGCUAGCGUUGUUCGGAAUUACUGGGCGUAAAGCGCACGUAGGCGGAUUGGAAAGUUGGGGGUGAAAUCCCGGGGCUCAACCUCGGAACUGCCUCCAAAACUAUCAGUCUGGAGGUCGAGAGAGGUGAGUGGAAUUCCGAGUGUAGAGGUGAAAUUCGUAGAUAUUCGGAGGAACACCAGUGGCGAAGGCGUCUCACUGGCUCGAUAGUGACACUGAGGUGUGAAAGCGUGGGGAUCAAACAGG